UACGAAGGGGGCUAGCGUUGUUCGGAAUCACUGGGCGUAAAGCGCACGUAGGCGGACUUCUAAGUCAGGGGUGAAAUCCCGGGGCUCAACCUCGGAACUGCCUUUGAUACUGGAAGUCUCGAGUCCGAGAGAGGUGAGUGGAACUCCUAGUGUAGAGGUGAAAUUCGUAGAUAUUAGGAAGAACACCAGUGGCGAAGGCGGCUCACUGGCUCGGUACUGACGCUGAGGUGCGAAAGCGUGGGGAGCAAACAGG
rnacentral:rRNA from 1 species